UGGAUCCAACAUGGCGCUCUUCGGAACCGGCAAGUUUCUCUCUGCGUUACCCAUUUCUCAAAUGUUGCAAGAAUAACUGGUUGUAAAUCACUUUGUACAUCCUCAAGAUAUGAAGCUAAAGCUGGAACCAAAGCAAAGAAGACCCUUGAAAAACCAGGUGUUAAGAACAUCGUCUUGGUUGAAGGGGUCAGAACGCCGUUUCUAAUGUCAGGAACAGAUUAUGCUAAUCUGAUGCCGCAUGAUCUGGCCAUCACUGCAUUAGAAGGUUUGAUCACUCGUACCAAGUUACCAAAAGAAAUUGUUGAGUAUAUUGUAUUUGGUACCGUGAUACAAGAGGUGAAGACAAGUAAUAUUGCAAGAGAGGCUGCUUUAAGUUCUGGGUUUUCCAUUAACACACCAUGUCAUACAGUUACUAUGGCAUGCAUUUCAUCAAAUCAAGCCAUCACAACAGCUAUGGGUAUGAUAGCCUUGGGACAGGCAGAUGUGACUAUUGCUGGUGGUGUAGAGUUUAUGUCAGAUGUACCUAUUAGACACAGUAGAAAAAUGAGAAAAUUCAUGCUGAAUCUUGGCAAGGCCAAGUCUGUUGGUGCGAAAUUAGCCCUCGCUGGAAAGUAUUUGAAUAUGAGUUGCCCUGGCACCUGAAUUACCAGCAGUGGCUGAAUUCUCUACUAAUGAAACCAUGGGUCAUUCUGGAGACAGAUUGUGUGCUGCAUCCUGUCAUAGAGAUAAUGGAAUCAGGCCAUCUCCUAUGGAAAGAUGGCUAAAUUGAAGCCAGCUUUUAUCAAGCCACACGGCACGGUCACUGCUGCCAAUGCCUCAUUCUUGACUGAUGGUGCAUCUGCAUGUUUAAUAAUGUCAGAAGAUAAAGCUAAAGCUAUGGGAUAUAAACCAAUUGCUUAUCUGAGAGACUUUGUGUAUGUAGCUAUUGAUCCUAAAGACCAGUUACUGCUUGG